rnacentral:rRNA from 1 species
AACGCGAAGAACCUUACCAAGGCUUGACAUACACCAGAACACCGUAGAAAUACGGGACUCUUUGGACACUGGUGAACAGGUGGUGCAUGGUUGUCGUCAGCUCGUGUCGUGAGAUGUUGGGUUAAGUCCCGCAACGAGCGCAACCCUCGUUCUAUGUUGCCAGCACGUAAUGGUGGGAACUCAUGGGAUACUGCCGGGGUCAACUCGGAGGAAGGUGGGGAUGACGUCAAAUCAUCAUGCCCCUUAUGUCUUGGGCUUCACGCAUGCUACAAUGGCCGGUACAAAGGGCUGCAAUACCGUGAGGUGGAGCGAAUCCCAAAAAGCCGGUCCCAGUUCGGAUUGAGGUCUGCAACUCGACCUCAUGAAGUCGGAGUCGCUAGUAAUCGCAGAUCAGCAACGCUGCGGUGAAUACGUUCCCGGGCCUUGUACACACCG